CGCAACCUCAUGGUUCCUAGUCGGAUUCGUUAACCACUGCGCCACGAUGGGAACUCCCAGGUGUUGUAUUUUUAUAUUCCUUUUCUAAUAUUUCAUUGUCAGUAUACAGAAAGGCAGCUUAUUUCUGCAUGUUAACCUUGUGUCCUGCUACUUUGCUGAAUUCCUUGAUCAGUUCGAGUCGUUUUCGUGUGGAGUCCUUAGGGUUUUCUAUGUAUAGUGUCAUGUCAUCUGCACGGAGAGACACUUUCACCUCUUCUCUUCCAAUGUGGAUACCUUUUAUUUCUUUUGUUUGUCUGACUGCUGUGGUUAUGACUUUCAAUAUUAUGUUAAAUAAAAGUGGUGUGAGUGGGCAUCCUUGUCUUGUCUUGUUUGAGAUUUUAGCAGGAAGUCUUUCGGCUUUUCUCUGAGUUUUUUUUUUUUUUUUUUUUUGGUCUUUUUGCUAUUUCUUGGGCCACUCCCACGGCAUAUGGAGGUUCCCAGGCUAGGGGGUCUAAUCGGAGCCGUAGCCGCCAGCCUAUGCCAGAGCCACAGCAGCGCAGGGUCCAAGGCGAGUCUGCACCACAGCUCACGGCAACGCCGGAUCCUUAACCCACUGAGCGAGGCCAGGGAUCAAACCACAGCCUCAUGUUCCUAGUCGGGUUCGUUUCUGCUGCGCCAUAGUGGAAACUCCAUAAACGACUCGUUAUGUGAAGGUAUGUUCCCUCUAUACCCGCUUUGGCCAGAGUUUCUAUCAUGAAUUGAUGAUGGAUUUUGUCAAAGGCUUUUUCUCCAUCUAUUGAGAUGACCAUUGGUUUUUUAGUAGCAGGUCGUUUAGUCUCCAUGUAGUCAGUUUUUUCUCAUUUCUUUUCUUGUGGUUGAUUUCUAGUUUCAUGCCACUGUGCUCAGAGAAGAUACUUGAAAUGAUUUCUGUAGUCUUAGAUUUGUUGAGGUGAGUUUUGUGCCCAGUAUGGGGUCAGUGAGAAUAUUCCACGUGCACUUGGAAAGAAUGUAGAUUCUGAUUUUUGGGAAUGUCAGGCCCUGAAAAUGUCAGUUAGGUCUGACUUUUCUGUUGUGUCGUUUAGAAUCUGUUGCCUUACUGAUUUUCUUUCUAGAAGGUCUGUCCGAAGAUGUGAGCGGGGUGUUAAAGUCUCCUACUGUGAUUGUGCUCCCGUGGAUUCCUCCUUUUACGGCUGUUAGUAUUUGCCGUAUGUAUCUGGGCGCUCCUAUGUCAGGGGCGUGUAUAACGACGAUUGUAAUGGAUCCUUUUAUCAUUAAUAGUGUCCCUCUUUGUCCUUCUUUGCGGCCUUGGUUUUAAAGUCUGUACAUCUGAUUCGAGUAUUGCAACCCCUGCUUUCCCGUCUUCCAUAUUCACAUGAACUAUCUUUUUCCGUCCCCUCACUUUGAAUUUAUGUGUCCUUGCCCUAAGCAGAGUCUCUUGGAGACAGCAGAUUGCAGGCUCUUGUUUCUUUAUCCAGUCUGCCACUCUGCGUCUUUUGACUGGAGCAUUCAGUCCAUUGACAUUUAAGAUCUGCCCCCUGGGCCCCUCUGCUCCAAGAUGCCUCAGUUCGGGCCGAGGACACAGGUGUCCCUUCAGCACAGGAUGCGGGCCUGCGGCCUGGUUGGGUGGCAGUGUGUUUCGAAUGCUUGAGGGGUCCCCUGGGUUUUGAGAUGCCUGUUGUUUGUCCAGAGGCAGGAGCCGAGCCCCACACAGGCUCUGAGUCUAUGGCGCCAGGGUACGGAGGCCUGAAGGAAGCUGGGGCUAGUGAAAGUUCUCACGGAGUUCCCUGGUGGCUGCCAGGCUUAAGAGUCUCUCCCGGUGUCACUGCGGUGGCUGUGGGAAGAGCCGCACUGGGAGAUCCAACCCUGGCCAGAGAGCAUGCCAAUGUGGCAGGUGGCGCCCAAAUAAAUGUAUGAAUAAAAAGAGAUAUGGAAAGAAUGAGCUCCAUGGAGAACUUAAUCAUUUAUUAUUUCCGAUUCUCGCGGAUUCCUGGGGCAAAAUUUCACUGUAGCGACAAAGCGAUGCCAUCGUGCAUGGAUACACAGGCACCUGUCCUUGCAGCAUCCUCCUUUGGCUUGAAAAAGGGGCGAGAUACAGGUCCCUGUGCUAAACAGCGGAAUCUAUGUGCUUCCCCUCUCCACAGGCAAUCGUUUGGAUGGAUGAGCCUCCAAACCCCAGGCCUCCCCACAGCCUCCCCCUGCAGUCUGGCACCCCCAGAUCUGUUUUCAGGUCCAUGGGUUUCUUUCCUGUAGAACGCUUCAUGGGUGUCAUUUGUCAGAGUCCAGAGGGAAGGGGUUUCCCAUGGUGUUUAUCUCUCCCUUUUGCACAUGUAUCUUUUAGGAUGAGAGUUUUCUUACUGUCUAUGUUGCUGUCAAUGACAGCUUGUUCGCCAUUUUUACAAGUCAGGUAAUCGGGUCUGUCUGACGUGGCUCGGCUAAGAAAUCUCACAGGAUCCGCAGAUUCCUUUUGACUGUCUCUGUUCCCAAAAGGCAAUCGCUUUGACCCUGACACCUUCUCAGGUGAGUGCUGAGCUGCUCAUUCUGUCAUUUUUUUGUUUUUGUUUUUGAUCAUGACUGUUUUUCGACUGUCGCUGAUACAUGGGGCCCCAGUUGAACUGAACACCACAGUGACCCCAUCACACUUGUCUGUCCGUAUUGUUUUGCUCACAUCAUCUUCCCUUUGCUUCCAAAUACACUGUCUGCAUGUCGUUCCCUGUGCUCAGCAGCUGGGUGUCUUUGACCACCCACGCCGAGGGCGAGUGUUUGGAUCUGUUUUCUUCCACAGACAGGUCCUUCCCACACCCUCCCCUCCAAUCUGGCCACCAAAUGUCUCUUUUGCAGGGCAUGAGUUUCUUUCCUGGAGGAAGGUUCUUUGGUGUCAUUCUAAGAUUCUGGAAGGAAGGGCUUUCCCACGCUCUUUGUGUCUCUCUCGGAGACAUAUUUUGUUUCGUGUGAGAGUUCUUCUUGCCAAAGUUACUUUUUUUUUUUUGCACAUUUUCCUGGCUGAGUACACGUCCUCUGUGUAUACGGAGAACCUCUUCCUAAUCCCAUCAUCUGUCCAUGGACAUCAGCUGUGUCUCCAUGGCUUGCUCUGGUGAAGAGUGCUGCCUGAACAACGCGGGGCGUUUAACUUUUAGAAAAGGACAUUUCCUGAAUAUAUGUGCAAGCGUGGGUGUCCUGGGCCCUACGGUCAUUCUCGGUUUCUCUUUCGGAUGCCCUGAUCCUGUGGUUCAUAAUGGUUGUCCACAUGGACCUACACACCCACACUCUGGAGGGCACCUUCUUGUCCACACCCAGUCCAGGGCUGCUCAUUCGAAGGCUCAUUCCUGAAAGUGAGGGAAGGAGACCCCACCCACAUAUGGGCCCAAGACAGUGCAGUCCCAGGGACUGCUGAGCCAGUGAGAGGAAGAAAACCCGAGAGUGGCUGUUCAAGCAGAUGUUCACACGAUGGCCACUGGGAGAGGGCUGAGGAGGGCCCUCGGCCUUGUUGUGAUUUGAAAUUCUCUAUGAAUGAGUGAUGCUGGUCCUUUUUCAGGGGCUUGAAGUCCUUUGUUUUCCUGGUUUGGGGAAAGGUCUCAUCAGGCCUCUUCCCCAUUUUUCAUUGGGUUCUGGUUUUCUGUGGCUGGUCUUGGUUUCUGUAAUUGAGCUGCUAAUUUCAGAAGCCCAGCCUGAGCUGAGUUUGGGGAUGCACAUAAAGUGGCUGCGUGUUGUGCCUGGGAGGCAGAAAAUCGAUGGUAUUUUGGAGAGCAGCUGUGCCAGUUGCUGGGCAUUUUCUCUCAAGCGGUCUCGGGGAACUGCAUUCAUUUCUUUCCAUGGCACCCUCUUCUCUUCCUUCUUUGAACUUGGAGUGAAGGCGUGACCUGAAGCCUAGUCAGACGUUUUCGGGCAACACCAUUGACUGAUCGAAAGAAAGCUCUCCCUGAAAUCCCUUCUGGCCCCCUGGGGAAAGUCUGGUUCUGUUGCCGUGGUGGUUUUGGUAAACACUGUGUCUUGAACAGCAAUCGGUGGGGAGACAAUGCAGGCACACUCCAGGUGGGGUCAAUACACUUAAAAAGAAAGAGGGGUAGAGAGAACCAGAAAAAUAUCUAUAUCAACCCCCCUCCCCCAAAAAACCCAAAUAAGAGUCGAGAAGAGACUUAAGUGUACGAAGGAGGAAUCACAAAGGGGCAAAUAAGAAAAAUAUUAAUCGUUCCAUCCCUACACCCUUCUCUUCAUCAAUACGUAAGUGCAGGGCUCUAUCAAAACAGACGAAGGCUGGCAUCCCAUAAUGGCCCACGGGAUGAGAGUAUACACAGCGAGCUAAGGUGUACGUUUGCCUCAGGGCUCUGAAAGCCUUUGAGAGAAAAGGAGCCCACCUGGAAGGGCCCUUCUUGGUCUUUCCUGAAAGUGAGGGAAGGAGACCCCACCCACAUAUGGGCCCAAGACAGUGCAGUCCCAGGGACUGCUGAGCCAGUGAGAGGAAGAAAACCCGAGAGUGGCUGUUCAAGCAGAUGUUCACACGAGGGCACCGGAGCUGUGGGGCUCUAACAGGUGAGAGCGCCAAGGCUCGAGACGCGCAGGCUCAGCGCUAGUUGGCGGUGAUGGUGUCUUGAGCGGAGCCCACAGCAGGCACCCAGAGGAUUUGCGGGUGUUCUCUGGGCACCAGGGACUCUCUCCUCCAAGAUGCCUCCUGUUAGGCAGAGGGCACAGGUGUCCUUUCAGGAUUUGGAGGUGGAUUGGCAGCCCGGUUGGGUGGCAGUGGUUUUCGAAUGCUUGAGGCAUUCCCUGGGUUUGGAGCGUGCCUGCCGUUUGCCGUAGUGGUUGUCCACAGGGACCUACACACCCACACUGUAGGAGGGCACCUUCUUGUCCACACCCAGUCCAGGGUUUGUCUUUGGACGGCGUCCUAAGGAUGGCCACUGGGAGAGGGCAGAGGAGGGCCCUCGACCUCAUGGGUUGAAAUUCUCUAUGAAUGAGCGAUGCCGGUCCUUUUUCCGGUGCUAGAUACCCUCCAGCUUUCUGGUUUGGGGAAAGGUCUCAUGAGGUCUCUUCCCCUUUUUUUCUUUUUCUUUUUUUGUCUUUUUGCUAUUUCUUUGGGCCACUCCCGUGGCAUAUGGAGGUUUCCAGG